GUGACACCUGAACAGUGGCGAGUUCUCGUGAUUGUUAGUGAGUGAGUCAACAUGUUACAGCGCGCCGGGAAAGAUUACAGCUAUAUAGCGAUGAAAACAAGAUUGCAGUGCUGCGGUCGAAGCUGGCUUGACUGUACCUGGGGACAUCGACGUUAUAGAGAUAAAGCCUCUGGAAGUCGAUGAGCCGUUUUGGGUGAAGUGCUACCUCAAUCACGGGGGGUACACCUACAUCGUGGAACGUAUGCCGAACUGUCACUUCGACUUCAUGGACAGAGAUUACGACGAGUACGAAAUGGGGUUCGGUGACGUAGAGGGUUGUUCCUAUUUUCUCGGCCUCGACAAGAUUCAGAAGAUGCUGAUGAGCGAGACGUACAACCUGGAUGUGGAUCUUGUGGGGAUGGAUUCUUCGGCCAUGCUUACUACAGCAAGUUCUUCCUGAACGAGGCCAUUAACGAUUAUGAGGUAUCGUGGGACGCUUUCUCAUCUGAUGACCUAGAAGAUGGAUUUAUCUACGGUGAUAACAGGAACCUGCAAGGAGCGAGAUUCAGGGCUGAAGGAGACCUCGAUCCGACUGGGUGUGUCGAGUCUCAGGGCACGGGGUGGUGGUACAACGACGACUGCAACUACGUCAACCUCCAUCUACCACUCAACACAACCGCUGCGGAGUUGUCAACAGCUGGGUCAGCAUCGUGGCCAGUGGGCGGAGUGUUGAGGAAAAUAUACUCGUUCAACAUGAAGGUGGUUAACGGAGGAUGAAAGCCAUGUACGAGUUGAAGCCGGCUUCACCACAUCUGUACGUUUUGCAUCAUUGCGUAUUACGUUAUUUAUUCGUAACUUUCAAAAAUAUAUUUCUACAUGUAGAACUGAGGUGGAGACUGGAUUAAAUGAAAUAUGUUACCAUGGUAAUCGUUGUAUCGGUAUAAUAAAAGGCACUUUAAUCUCA